rfam:Gossypium raimondii Chr05_contig_1013, whole genome shotgun sequence.
CAUUGGUGAGAAUACAAUUCCCUAAAAACCCAAGGGUUCCUCCACAAGGUUUGUCUAUAGAGGGUGAGUCAGGGCCUAAGAUCAGGCCGAAAGGCGUAGUCGAUGAACAACAGAUGAAUAUUUCUGUACUACCUCUUAUUGGUCCCGAGGGACAGAGGAAGCUAGGUUAGCCGAAAGAUGCUUAUUGGUUCAAGGACGCAAGGUGCCCUUGCCUUUUCAGGGUAAGAAGGGGUAAGGAAAAUGCCCCGAACCAAUGUUCGAGUUCCAGGCACUACAAUGCUGAAGUAAACCAUGCUAUACUCUCAGGAAAAGCUCAAAUGACCUUCAACAAAAGGGUACUUGUACCCAAAACUGACACAGAUGGGUAGGUAGAGAAUACCUAGGGG